CUACGGGUUGCAGCAGUGAGGAAUAUUGCACAAUGGGGGGAACCCUGAUGCAGCAACGCCGCGUGGAGGAUGACGCAUUUCGGUGUGUAAACUCCUUUUAUAUGUCAAGAAAAUGACGGUAGUAUAUGAAUAAGCACCGGCUAACUCCGUGCCAGCAGCCGCGGUAAUACGGAGGGUGCAAGCGUUACUCGGAAUCACUGGGCGUAAAGGACGCGUAGGCGGGUUGGAAAGUCAGGUGUGAAAUCCUACAGCUUAACUGUAGAACUGCACUUGAAACUUCUAAUCUAGAGUAUGGGAGGGGGAGAUGGAAUUAGUGGUGUAGGGGUAAAAUCCGUAGAUAUCACUAGGAAUACCUAAAGCGAAGGCGAUCUCCUAGAACAUUACUGACGCUAAGGCGUGAAAGCGUGGGGAGCAAACAGGAUUAGAUACCCCCGUAGUC
rnacentral:rRNA from 1 species